rfam:Beta vulgaris subsp. vulgaris Bvchr6.sca003.con0095.1, whole genome shotgun sequence.
UUGCUAAAGGGAUGGAAUAGUAAGUCCUGAAAUUUAAUUAUUCAGUCAUCCGUCACUUUGUCAGCAAUAUUUUCUUUUUAUUGCUGAUCAUCAAAGAUGACAAAUUU